rnacentral:rRNA from 1 species
UACGAAGGGGGAGCUAGCGUUGCUCGGAAUUACUGGGCGUAAAGCGCACGUAGGCGGCUUUCUAAGUCGGGGGUGAAAUCCUGGAGCUCAACUCCAGAACUGCCUUCGAUACUGGAGAGCUUGAGUCCGGGAGAGGUGAGUGGAACUGCGAGUGUAGAGGUGAAAUUCGUAGAUAUUCGCAAGAACACCAGUGGCGAAAGGCGGCUCACUGGCCCGGUACUGACGCUGAGGUGCGAAAGCGUGGGGAGCAAACAGGAUUGAGAA